GAGCUCAUGUUGGAGAAGAGGAGCACAUGCAAAGCACAUGAAACAGAAAUUGUGUUUGUUGGUUUGCACGUGCCCUGCUUCUCCAACGUGAAGAU
rnacentral:pre_miRNA from 1 species